AUUGAACGCUGGCGGCAGGCCUAACACAUGCAAGUCGAGCGGAUGACGGGAGCUUGCUCCUUGAUUCAGCGGCGGACGGGUGAGUAAUGCCUAGGAAUCUGCCUGGUAGUGGGGGACAACGUUUCGAAAGGAACGCUAAUACCGCAUACGUCCUACGGGAGAAAGCAGGGGACCUUCGGGCCUUGCGCUAUCAGAUGAGCCUAGGUCGGAUUAGCUAGUUGGUGGGGUAAUGGCUCACCAAGGCGACGAUCCGUAACUGGUCUGAGAGGAUGAUCAGUCACACUGGAACUGAGACACGGUCCAGACUCCUACGGGAGGCAGCAGUGGGGAAUAUUGGACAAUGGGCGAAAGCCUGAUCCAGCCAUGCCGCGUGUGUGAAGAAGGUCUUCGGAUUGUAAAGCACUUUAAGUUGGGAGGAAGGGCAGUAAGCUAAUACCUUGCUGUUUUGACGUUACCGACAGAAUAAGCACCGGCUAACUCUGUGCCAGCAGCCGCGGUAAUACAGAGGGUGCAAGCGUUAAUCGGAAUUACUGGGCGUAAAGCGCGCGUAGGUGGUUUGUUAAGUUGGAUGUGAAAGCCCCGGGCUCAACCUGGGAACUGCAUCCAAAACUGGCAAGCUAGAGUACGGUAGAGGGUGGGUGGAAUUUCCUGUGUAGCGGUGAAAUGCGUAGACAUAGGAAGGAACACCAGUGGCGAAGGCGACCACCUGGACUGAUACUGACACUGAGGUGCGAAAGCGUGGGGAGCAAA
rnacentral:rRNA from 1 species